GGGUUUGCAAAUGUUGGUUUAUUGUUGAAUUAGAGUGAAGAUUUAUUUCAUAAUCAUAAUAGCUGGAUCUAUCUCUAGUAAUUCACUAUAUUAUUGUGGAGAUUGAAGGCGCAAUAUAGACGACUGUUGAAAGAUGAGCAUAAAAAUGAAUAUUGACUUGUCUAUAUCAGUAAUUUAAGUUUGGAGUAUUUCAAUAACAAAAAUUAUUUAUUAAUAAAUGGGUGUAGAUAGUAUUAUGAUGGGUUCAAAUAUCCUCAUCCUUAUAAUAUAUGUAGCUUUGUUAUAAUUUUCAAAAAAAGCAAAAAGCAUAGGCGCAAACUUAGCCCAAAGCACAAGUGAGCCUAAUUUUCUUGAGCCAGCGUCUGGGCCGACACCACCCAAGUUAUGUACCUGAAAUAGAAAAUUAAUAUUGUUUUGAGCUCACAAAGCUUUCGCACUAGAUUAGAUGGAACUGAUCUUUUAUUACGUUUGUUCUUGUCCGAUGUAGUAGAGCUAUCGAAUAUAAAGUGUUUGGGGGAAAUACUCCGACGAGACUAGACGUAAUGAGCAGAUGUUUGGUGGCAGAAGUCUGCGAGCAGGUGUGUCCUGUAAGAGUCAGGUAGAAGGGAAACAGGGGCAGGAAUAUCCUGCUCAUCCAUGAGCACGUCAUCCGCGAGGCUAAUUUUCUGUAAGAAGCAUAAAGCUAUUCCUGCUGUAUUCUUGCUAAGGGUUGAUUCGAGGAGAUCCGGUCAACGACAGUUGGCGAGGCAUGCUCUCCAGCCCGAGAAUCUAGGCACGAAGGCCACGCAACCACCCACGACUACGGAAAUGGGGAAUCCACGUUCGAGAGGUGGGAGGAUAACGGACGUAGACUGCGGAAAACUGGGAUUCAGAGGAAGCCUAUAAAAAGGUAGCCAACGAAGGUAAAAUGGUUAGCAAUUUGGAGACUAGAAGAGAGAUAAAAGCCAUUCUAAAAGAGAGAAAACUACCCAAAAGCCAUAAGAUCUGUGGCAAGCGUUCCCCGAACCUUCAUAUCUGACUUGAGCGUCGGAGGGUUUGCGCCGGGAAAACAACCGGCGUACUCUGACUUGUCUGUGUGCGCAGGAACCUCUGGAGAAGAAGCUUUACGAGGAAAGAUCCUGGUCGUGGUGAAGUUGAUCGAGCAGAGACCCUGGUCGUAGAACGAGGAGAACCAGAAUCUCGCAUCAACAUAAAGCAUUUCGUGAGGCACAUUCUCAUUGUGGUCAUCGGUUGUGCUCGUAAAAAUUAAAUGUUGACCAGCGGGGAUUGGUGCUAUUGUUGGAGAGAUUACGCU
rnacentral:lncRNA from 1 species